rnacentral:rRNA from 1 species
GAUGAACGCUAGCGGGAGGCCUAACACAUGCAAGUCGAGCGGGAUUCCCUUUCGGGGGAUGAGAGCGGCGCACGGGUGAGUAACGCGUAUGCGACCUGCCCAUAACAGGGGGAUAGCCCGGAGAAAUCCGGAUUAAUACCGCAUAAUAUUAUUUAGUCGCAUGAUUGAGUAAUAAAAACUGAGGUGGUUAUGGAUGGGCAUGCGUGACAUUAGUUAGUUGGUGGGGUAACGGCCCACCAAGACUACGAUGUCUAGGGGUUCUGAGAGGAAGAUCCCCCACACUGGUACUGAGAUACGGACCAGACUCCUACGGGAGGCAGCAGUGAGGAAUAUUGGUCAAUGGGCGGAAGCCUGAACCAGCCAUCCCGCGUGAAGGAAGACAGCCCUAUGGGUUUUAAACUUCUUUUGUGCAAGAAGAACGGGCAGUACGUGUACUGUUAUGCCGGUAUUGCACGAAUAAGCAUCGGCUAACUCCGUGCCAGCAGCCGCGGUAAUACGGAGGAUGCGAGCGUUAUCCGGAUUUAUUGGGUUUAAAGGGUACGUAGGUGGCUUUAUAGGUCCGUGGUGAAAGACUGCCGCUCAACGGUAGCAUUGCCAAUGAUACUGUAAGGCUUGAGGACAGGAGAUGUAGGCGGAACGUGUAGUGUAGCGGUGAAAUGCAUAGAUAUUACACAGAACUCCGAUUGCGAAGGCAGCUUACAAUACUGUAUCUGACACUGAUGCACGAAAGUGUGGGUAUCAAACAGGAUUAGAUACCCUGGUAGUCCACACAGUAAACGAUGAAUACUCGUUGUUUGCGAUAUACCGCAAGCGACCAAGCGAAAGCAUUAAGUAUUCCACCUGGGGAGUACGCCGGCAACGGUG